rnacentral:rRNA from 1 species
GGCGGCGUGCCUAAUACAUGCAAGUCGAACGGUCUUUCUAUGGAAGCUUGCUUCCACUGAGAAGAUAGUGGCGAACGGGUGAGUAACACGUGGGUAACCUGCCCAUAAGAGGGGGAUAACAUCCGGAAACGGGUGCUAAUACCGCAUAGUUUUCUUGAUCGCAUGAUCGGGAAAGGAAAGACGGCCUUUGUGCUGUCGCUUAUGGAUGGACCCGCGGCGUAUUAGUUAGUUGGUGAGGUAACGGCUCACCAAGACGAUGAUACGUAGCCGACCUGAGAGGGUGAUCGGCCACAUUGGGACUGAGACACGGCCCAAACUCCUACGGGAGGCAGCAGUAGGGAAUCUUCCGCAAUGGACGAAAGUCUGACGGAGCAACGCCGCGUGAGUGAAGAAAAGGUUUUCGGAUCGUAAAACUCUGUUGUCAGAGAAGAACAAGUUGGAGAGUAACUGCUCCAGCCUUGACGGUAUCUGACCAGAAAGCCACGGCUAACUACGUGCCAGCCGCAGC